GAUGAACGCUGGCGGCGUGCCUAAUACAUGCAAGUCGAGCGAACAGACGAGGAUCUUGCUCCUCUGACGUUAGCGGCGGACGGGUGAGUAACACGUGGAUAACCUACCUAUAAGACUGGGAUAACUUCGGGAAACCGGAGCUAAUACCGGAUAAUAUAUUGAACCGCAUGGUUCAUUAGUGAAAGACGGUUUUGCUGUCACUUAUAGAUGGAUCCUCGCCGCAUUAGCUAGUUGGUAAGGUAACGGCUUACCAAGGCAACGAUGCGUAGCCGACCUGAGAGGGUGAUCGGCCACACUGGAACUGAGACACGGUCCAGACUCCUACGGGAGGCAGCAGUAGGGAAUCUUCCGCAAUGGGCGAAAGCCUGACGGAGCAACGCCGCGUGAGUGAUGAAGGUCUUCGGAUCGUAAAACUCUGUUAUCAGGGAAGAACAAAUGUGUAAGUAACUAUGCACGUCUUGACGGUACCUAAUCAGAAAGCCACGGCUAACUACGUG
rnacentral:rRNA from 1 species